CUUUAGUGAAGAACCCACCCAAAUAUGGAGAAUGUAGAUGUUAUAUACCCUGACAGGCGAAGUGAAUAACAUUGAUUAUAUUGUUACAAUGGCUCCUGUCUGUCAAGGAAUUGGAUAUAUUAGUCAGCAAUGGCACAGUCCGUUCUUGAAUUUCAUGUAUUGGAAGCAGGAAAAUGGGCAAGUGAAAAGAUCUGAGUGUCUUUGACAAGGGCCAAACCAAAUAGUGAUGGCUAGAUGAC